UCCGGUUGAUCCUGCCGGAGGCUACUGCUAUCGGGGUCCGACUAAGCCAUGCGAGUUGAGAGGGGUAAGCCCUCGGCAUAUUGCUCAGUAACACGCGGAUAACCUGCCCUUGGGUUCGGGAUAACCCCGGGAAACUGGGACUAAUACCGGAUAGAUCAAAGAAACUGGAAUGUUCUCUGGUCUAAAACUCUGGUGCCCAAGGAUGGGUCUGCGGCCUAUCAGGUAGUAGUGGGUGUAACGUACCUACUAGCCUACGACGGGUAAGGGUUGUGAGAGCAAGAGCCCCGAGAUGGAUUCUGAGACAUGAAUCCAGGCCCUACGGGGUGCAGCAGGCGCGGAAACUUUACACUGCGGGAAACCGCGAUAAGGGGACCCCGAGUGCCAGCACCUAGUGCUGGCUGUCCAGCUGUCCAAAUAACAGUUGUUAGCAAGGGCCGGGCAAGACCGGUGCCAGCCGCCGCGGUAACACCGGCGGCCCGAGUGGUAGCCGUUAUUAUUGGGUUUAAAGGGUCCGUAGCCGGCCUAUUAAGUCUCUUGGGAAAUCUGGCGACUCAAUCGUCAGGCGUCCAAGAGAUACUGGUAGGCUUGGGACCGGGAGAGGUGGGAGGUACUCCAGGGGUAGGGGUGAAUCUCGUAAUCCUUGGGGGACCACCGAUGGCGAAGGCAUCCCACCAGAACGGGUCCGACGGUGAGGGACGGAAGCUGGGGGCACGAACCGGAUUAGAUACCCGGGUAGUCCCAGCCGUAAACGAUGCUCGCUAGGUGUCAGGUGCGGUGCGACCGCAUCUGGUGCCGCAGUGAAAACUUGAAGCGAGUCACCUGGGAAGUACGGUCGCAAGGCUGAAACUUAAAGGAUU
rnacentral:rRNA from 1 species